rnacentral:rRNA from 1 species
CGGGGGGGCAAGCGUUGUUCGGAAUUACUGGGCGUAAAGGGUCUGUAGGUGGCUUGCUAAGUCAGACGUGAAAUCCCUCAGCUUAACUGGGGAACUGCGUCUGAGACUGGCGAGCUUGAGUGCAGGAGAGGAACGCGGAAUUCCAGGUGUAGCGGUGAAAUGCGUAGAUAUCUGGAGGAACACCGGUGGCGAAGGCGGCGUUCUGGACUGCAACUGACACUGAGAGACGAAAGCCAGGGGAGCAAACGGGAUUAGAUACCCCGGUAGUCCUGGCCCUAAACGAUGAAUGCUUGGUGUGGCGGGUAUCGAUCCCUGCCGUGCCGAAGUUAACGCGUUAAGCAUUCCGCCUGGGGAGUACGGUCGCAAGGCUG